rnacentral:rRNA from 1 species
UACGGGGGGAGCAAGCGUUGUUCGGAUUUACUGGGCGUAAAGGGCGCGUAGGCGGCCAGCACAAGUCAGUUGUGAAAUCUCCGAGCUUAACUCGGAAAGGUCAACUGAUACUGUGCGGCUAGAGUGCGGAAGGGGCAACUGGAAUUCCUGGUGUAGCGGUGAAAUGCGUAGAUAUCAAGAGGAACACCUGCGGCGAAGGCGGGUUGCUGGGCCGACACUGACGCUGAUGCGCGAAAGCUAGGGGAGCGAACGGG